rnacentral:tRNA from 1 species
GUGGAUAGAGCUUAAGGUGGUAGAGCGCAUGCUUAGCAUACAUGAGGUCCUGGGUUCAAUCCCCAGUACCUCCU